UACGGAGGGUGCGAGCGUUGUCCGGAAUCAUUGGGCGUAAAGGGCGCGUAGGCGGCUCGGUCAGCGUGCGGUGAAAGCUCGGGGCUCAACCCCGAGUCGGCCGUGCGAACUGCUGGGCUUGAGCACUGUAGAGGCAGGCGGAAUUCCGGGUGUAGCGGUGGAAUGCGUAGAGAUCCGGAAGAACACCGGUGGCGAAGGCAAUCCCCUGGACCUGUACUGACGCUCAUGCACGAAAGCGUGGGGAGCAAACAGG
rnacentral:rRNA from 1 species